GUCCCUAUAGCGCAAUGGAUAGCGCGUUAGGCUUCUAACCCAAAGGUCGUGAGUUCAAAUCCUACUUGGGAUG
rnacentral:tRNA from 1 species